UACGUAGGGGGCGAGCGUUGUCCGGAUUUAUUGGGCGUAAAGAGCGUGUAGGCGGCCAGGUAGGUCAGCUGUGAAAACUCGAGGCUUAACCUCGAGACGCCGGCUGAAACCCUCUGGCUAGAGUCCGGAAGAGGAGAGCGGAAUUCCUGGUGUAGCGGUGAAAUGCGCAGAUAUCAGGAAGAACACCCGUGGCGAAGGCGGCUCUCUGGGACGGUACUGACGCUGAGACGCGAAAGCGUGGGGAGCGAACAGG
rnacentral:rRNA from 1 species